rnacentral:rRNA from 1 species
UCGGGAAUUUUGGGCAAUGGGCGAAAGCCUGACCCAGCAACGCCGCGUGAAGGAUGAAGUAUUUCGGUAUGUAAACUUCGAAAGAAUAGGAAGAAUAAAUGACGGUACUAUUUAUAAGGUCCGGCUAACUACGUGCCAGCAGCCGCGGUAAUACGUAGGGACCAAGCGUUGUUCGGAUUUACUGGGCGUAAAGGGCGCGUAGGCGGCAAUUCAAGUCAUCUGUGAAAUCUCCGGGCUUAACUCGGAACGGUCAGAUGAUACUGCUUUGCUAGAGUGCAGAAGGGGCAAUCGGAAUUCUUGGUGUAGCGGUGAAAUGCGUAGAUAUCAAGAGGAACACCUGAGGUGAAGACGGGUUGCCGGGCUGACACUGACGCUGAGGCGCGAAAGCCAGGGGAGCAAACGGGAUUAGAUACCCUAGUAGUCCCUGAGCGGGCUGGCAAGGCGCAU